GCACCCGUAGCUCAGCUGGAUAGAGCGCUGCCCUCCGAAGGCAGAGGUCGCGAGUUCGAAUCUCACCGGGUGCACCA
rnacentral:tRNA from 1 species